UUCCUACGGGACGCAGCAGUGGGGGAUAUUGCACAAUGGGGGAAACCCCGAUGCAGCGACGCCGCGUGGGCGAAGAAGUAUUUCGGUAUGUAAAGCCCUAUCAGCAGGGAAGAAGAAAUGACGGUACCUGAGUAAGAAGCACCGGCUAAAUACGUGCCAGCAGCCGCGGUAAUACGUAUGGUGCAAGCGUUAUCCGGAUUUACUGGGUGUAAAGGGAGCGUAGACGGCAUGGCAAGUCAGAUGUGAAAGCCCGGGGCUCAACCCCGGGACUGCAUUUGAAGCUGUCAGGCUGGAGUGCAGGAGAG
rnacentral:rRNA from 1 species